rnacentral:rRNA from 1 species
GUGGGGAAUAUUGGACAAUGGGGGGAACCCUGAUCCAGCCAUGCCGCGUGUGUGAAGAAGGCCUUUUGGUUGUAAAGCACUUUAAGCGAGGAGGAGGCUACCGAGAUUAAUACUCUUGGAUAGUGGACGUUACUCGCAGAAUAAGCACCGGCUAACUCUGUGCCAGCAGCCGCGGUAAUACAGAGGGUGCAAGCGUUAAUCGGAUUUACUGGGCGUAAAGCGCGCGUAGGUGGCCAAUUAAGUCAAAUGUGAAAUCCCCGAGCUUAACUUGGGAAUUGCAUUCGAUACUGGUUGGCUAGAGUAUGGGAGAGGAUGGUAGAAUGCCAGGUGUAGCGGUGAAAUGCGUAGAGAUCUGGAGGAAUACCGAUGGCGAAGGCAGCCAUCUGGCCUAAUACUGACACUGAGGUGCGAAAGCAUGGGGAGCAAACAGGAUUAGAAACCCGUGUAGUCC